rnacentral:rRNA from 1 species
AGAGUUUGAUCCUGGCUCAGAACGAACGUUGGCGGCGCGCCUAACACAUGCAAGUCGCACGCGAAAGGGAGCAAUCCCCGGUAGAGUGGCGCACGGGAGAGUAACACGUGGAUAAUCUUCCCUUGAGCGGGGGAUAACCUUCCGAAAGGAGGGCUAAUACCGCGUAAGACCACGGCCAGUACGCUGGCUGAGGUAAAAGCUGGCCUCUUCAUGAAAGCUAGCACUUGAGGAUGAGUCCGCGGCCCAUCAGCUAGUUGGUAGUGUAAAAGACUACCAAGGCUAAGACGGGUAGCUGGUCUGAGAGGAUGAUCAGCCACACUGGAACUGAGACACGGUCCAGACUCCUACGGGAGGCAGCAGUGGGGAAUCUUGCGCAAUGGGCGAAAGCCUGACGCAGCGACGCCGCGUGGGUGAUGAAGGCCUUCGGGUUGUAAAGCCCUGUGGGGAGGGACGAAUAACAACGACCUAAUACGUCGUUGGAUGACGGUACCUCCUUAGCAAGCACCGGCUAACUCUGUGCCAGCCGCCGCGGUAAUUC